UACGGGGGGGGCAAGCGUUGUUCGGAAUUACUGGGCGUAAAGGGCUCGUAGGUGGCCAACUAAGUCAGACGUGAAAUCCCUCGGCUUAACCGGGGAACUGCGUCUGAUACUGGAUGGCUUGAGUUUGGGAGAGGGAUGCGGAAUUCCAGGUGUAGCGGUGAAAUGCGUAGAUAUCAGGAAGAACACCGGUGGCGAAGGCGGCUCUCUGGGCCUUACCUGACGCUGAGGAGCGAAAGCGUGGGUAGCGAACAGG
rnacentral:rRNA from 1 species